rnacentral:tRNA from 1 species
GGCACGGGGUGCUGUAUCUGGUGAUACAGGGCGGACUUCAGAUCCGUCAAGUUCGAUUGAACUCGGGGUUCGAUUCCCCCCCGGUGCC